GCUUGUCUCAAAGAUUAAGCCAUGCAUGUCUAAGUGUAAAUAAGUCUAUACUGUGAAACUGCGAAUGGCUCAUUAAAUCAGUUAUCGUUUAUUUGAUGGUCCUUGCUACUUGGAUAACCGUAGUAAUUCUAGAGCUAAUACAUGCAUCAGACCCCGACUGUUUGGAAGGGGUGUAUUUAUUAGAUGGAAACCGAUGCGGGGUAACCCGGAUUUUGGUGAUUCAUAAUAACUUUCGGAUCGAUCGCAAGAUCGAUGCAUCAUUCAAGUUUCUGCCCUAUCAGCUUUGGAUGGUAGGGUAUUGGCCUACCAUGGCUUUAACGGGUAACGGAGAAUUAGGGUUCGAUUCCGGAGAGGGAGCCUGAGAAAUGGCUACCACAUCCAAGGAAGGCAGCAGG
rnacentral:rRNA from 1 species